rnacentral:lncRNA from 1 species
GCAAGUUCUGCUUCCUGCACUUUUUCUUUUGUUCCUAGGAGUAAUGCCUUGGAAUGCCACAGAGCUCUUGGAAACCAGAAGGGUGGCACACGGCUGCCAGAGUGUGUCUUGUGUGGACUAGGAGAAGUCAGCUGAAAUGGCAGGCUGGCUCACACUGAGCUCUUAGCCGCUGUCGCAGUAAGGGAUGGAAGCAGAAGGUGGAAAGCUGGAGAAGCUCCGAUCUCUCACUGGAGAGAGGGGAG